UACAAAAUCAAAUGCAACUUUAAAGGGGCCUUUCACAGUUUUGAAAUGUUUUGAAGUUUUUCAUUAAUGCUUUAUAUUGAUAAAUUUAAAAAUUUGAUCGAAAAAGCUCCAGUGCAAAAAAAAAAAAAUAAAAUAAAAUUAAAGAAAGAAAAAAAGUAACAGGCAAAUGGGCUCGAACCGCUGACCCCUGGAGUACAAAUAUAACGCUUAGACCACUCAGCCAUCCUUGAUCAUCGAAUGCAUGAUGUAUUUUAUAUUAGCAAUCCUCGUAGUAUCACAAAAUGUAACGACAACAUCAGAACUCUCCAAAUUAUUAAAUCGUUUCGCGUUGCUACGCUUUAUAAUUGUAAUAUGGGAAUCUAAAACAUUUUUUUUAUUUGGACAAUUUACCAAAACGUGAAAAGGCCCCUUUAAGUAAUUAGACAACACAAGAAGGAGAACGGUAGAAUCCACGAUUUCAUGAGUAUUAAAGCAAUUCCAGUGAUAGUUUUUCAAAUGAUAGAGGACCAUUAAAUGGUUUCAAGUGUUCCUUUAAAUUAUCCCCAUCCAGAGCUGUGGCCAUACCACGUGGUUUGUGACGUCAUUUUGGCUAGCACGCUAAGUAGAAAUUUGUCAACAUUGGCCUCGCUUAGAAAUUUCAAAUCCACGCACUUCUUCUAUACAACCUCGAAAAAGAAUGUGUACAAACUCGUUGGUCAAUAUAACGUCGAUGGCAAAGGUGAAGAUGAACCAAACAUCAACAGCUCUUCCGAUAUUCGGUAAUUUUGUUUGUCCGUAAAGCUUAUUUAGUCGUGCACAAACUGUUAUUAUGGAAAUACAUGUAAUAUGUCCAUUCGGAAUAUUUUAAGUAAAAUUUAAAAGAAAAAACACAUGUUAUUUCAACUGUAGUAAUGUAUUUAUUUGUGUAUAAGUUAAUGACAUUUAAAUGAUGUGUCAAUAUUAUAUUUAUGUUAUUAUCAGAAUAUGCUUUGACGUAACGUCAAAAAGUCCGUCCAUCCAGAAAAUUGCGCAUGUGAUGUACAUGUUUUCUUAAUAAAAUUUUAAUUUUUUAA